CUUCAUAGUGCUCGGUGCUUCAGAAAGACGGAUGAACAAUUCCGGGUAUUAUAAUGAGUCCAGGUUUUAUUAGCACCUUGGCAUCUCCCUGCACUUAGUCUCUGCUUCUCAUUCCAGGUGGAAACACCAAGACAAAACAGAAUGGAGUGUUUCAUUCUUCCCCAGACAGCAAUUCAUACAGAUGUCUAUUGGGUAUGCUUCACACCCAGUGCAGAGCCCAGUGCAGGGCUUGAACUCAUAACCCUGAGAUCAAGACCUGGAUGCUUAACCAACUGAGCCACACAGGUGCCCCACCCAGGUACAGAUUUGAAACCAAGGGUGCUCACUAUUUACAUAGAAGAUGACAAUGUAGUUUCUGCGUACUAUAGGAGAACUCUAAGUGUUUGAGGGAUGGGUAGAAAAUAGUGUGAAGAAGGAAACACUUGUUUGAAACUAAUGUCACUGUGUUCAUCAUGUUUUUUGUUUCCCGUGUCUUACGGCGUUUCAAUAUUUGGGAGGCCUUCCAGCCCCAGGGAGAGACUGCCCCUCCCGGUGCUAGCUACUUCCUGAGGAUAAUGGCAACCUGCCUAGAACUAUGCCUUCUGUAUGCACGUAUAGUCUUGUGUGUAUCCCCUCAACACUCUCCCUGACUCUCCGACAGCACACCAGUGUUAACCCCGACCUAAGUCAUCCCAGGGCCAGGUACCAGUCAAUCAGAGAUCAUCCCUAUAGCCCCAAAUUGGCCUGAAUUAUUCAAACUGGCUAAUUCUAAAAUGUUUGCUCUGCCCAGCCUUGACUUUCCUACACAAACCCCGAUAAAGGCGCUAGCCUAGGCUUUCCCCUGGCUUCUGCUUCUGUGUCCUAACUACAACCUGGUACCCACCCUGUGACUCUGCGUGGUGUGGUGGGCCCCCUUCUCUGUGCUAAUGUAAGUAAUAAACUCUUUUUUCAAUGGCAUUGACCUCGCCAUAUCAUCAUUCCAUUACUUCCAUAAAUUAAAAUCUCAUGGGUACAAAUGAGACAAUGAUCUACAUUCAGUGUUUGUUGAGUGUGGAAACUGGGAGAAUUCCCUGGCCUCCAUGUUCUUUGUAGGUAUGGUUGGCUCACCUGCUUAGGACACCUUACAAAUGAUAAUCCAGACUUCUAACUCAGUCCCCACGCAGGCCAUGUAGCUUUAUAGCAUUUCAUGAUCGCGCAUCCAACCCCGAGACUGGGUCAAAUUCUCAAAAUAAAUGUUUUAUCUUAAAGUAUAAUGUGACAGGCAUGUGGGGAUAGAGGUGGAGAAUGACAGAUAAUCACUUCAGCUUCUUAUUUUGGAACCAUUAGUCAUAGGACAUGCCCUACUGAAGCUAGUUCCCUAGUAUUGGGACCCAUAUAAAACUGAAUUCAUAAAGUAGACAUCCAGAUGGCUAGCAGACACAUGAAAAACUGCUCAACAUCACUCAUCAUCAGGGAAAUACAAAU